rnacentral:tRNA from 1 species
CGGAUGUAGUUCAAUGGCAGAAUGCCGUUUGUACCGGUGAUACGGGUUCGAUUCCUGUCAUCCGCC